AACCCCUUCCCUUCUCCUUCACUUUCACGUGAACCAGGACCCUCAACCCUCAACCUCAUUGUUGCUUCCGCCACGCCGCCAAACCAGUCGUCGGAGACCACCGUUGUCCCUCACCGCAGCUUCAAACGCCGGUAACUCCUCCAUCUCUUGCUUCAUUGUUCUUGCUUCUCCUUCGUUCUUAUUCUUAUCCUCUUGGUUGUUUUUGUUGCUCUCUGCCGCCACCACCACUGCGCAACUGGUUGCGCCGCACCAUCACAGCCACCGUGCACUGUUGCUGCACCGCCCAACUCGCCAACCAACGUUUUCCAUCAUCCUCUUUCUUGUUUCUUCAUUUUCACGACAGCAGCCAAGCACGACUAAGUGCGACCACCGUAGUCACCACCACCAGGCUCCAGCCGCGUCGCCCGUUCCCCGCGACCACCGCCCUGUGCCGCGCCGCCUGUGCUCCGCCGGCCAGCCUCCUCUCUCCUCUUUAAUUCUUGGUGGAGAAUUCUCCGUAGGCGACUUUUGAAUUAUUAAAGUGGUCUUGCAGUUUGUUUACACAAGUCUCUAAGGAUCAAUAAGCAUUGUCCAUCUGCAGGUUUGAAGAUGUUGCAUCAUUGGGAUCGGGAAUAGAGAGCUUGUAUUUAGUUUUGAUUUGCUAAGUUGACUUGGGUUUGUUUAAUUGGACUUUAAACUGGUCGUACUAUUUAUAUUUCCUUAUUUUUUUUGUUUAUUGGUUUUUGGGAUUAAACCUGUAAUCGAUUAUUUAUAAACCUAAAAUUAGUUUUAUGUUUUCCGCUGCAAAACUCUGAAUAAGCCGUUACGUUUUCACACGGGCGAUAAUGCCUUGAUAA